rnacentral:rRNA from 1 species
AUUGAACGCUGGCGGCGUGCCUAAUACAUGCAAGUCGAGCGAACUGAUUAGAAGCUUGCUUCUAUGACGUUAGCGGCGGACGGGUGAGUAACACGUGGGCAACCUGCCUGUAAGACUGGGAUAACUUCGGGAAACCGAAGCUAAUACCGGAUAGGAUCUUAUACUUCAUGGGAGAUGAUUGAAAGAUGGUUUCGGCUAUCACUUACAGAUGGGCCCGCGGUGCAUUAGCUAGUUGGUGAGGUAACGGCUCACCAAGGCAACGAUGCAUCGCCGACGUGAGAGGGUGAGGGGCCACACUGGGAGUGAGACACGGCCAAGACUCCUACAGGAGUCAGAAGUAGAGUAUCUUCCGCAAUGGACUAAAGUCUGACGGAGCAACGCCGCGUGAGUGAUGAAGGCUUUCGGGUCGUAAAACUCUGUUUUUAGGGAAGAACAAGUACGAGAGUAACUGCUCGUACCUUGACGGUACCUAACCAGAAAGCCACGGCUAACUACGUGCCAGCCGCCGCCGUAACAC